AACCGCCAGUGGAAAUGCAUUUCCACUGGCGGCUGAAUAAAGAAAACCGCCAGUGGAAAUGCAUUUACACUGGCGGUU
rnacentral:pre_miRNA from 7 species